CCCUCAUGGUUGUCCCAUCCCAACAUGACAUGUGCAGCGAUGUGCGUCACAAAAAGGAUUGACAAAGACUAAAACAGGCGGCAGCACAUUUGACGGAAGAGAGAGAAUCGGCGCUGAGACAAAGAGCGAGUGACACACAGAAUGGCAAGGAAGCACAGAGCCAAGAUUCCCGGGUGACAUAUGUCAUCAGUGUUUGAACCUGACAGCGAUGAUAGUCACACACACACCUGGUGCGGCGAUAUUGUUCUCUGCAUUUGACCCAUCACCCUUGAUCACCCCGUGUGAGGUGAGGGGAGCAGUGAGCAGCUGCGGUGGCCGCGCCCGGGAAUAUGUUUUUGUUGAUUUAACCCCCCAAUUCCAACCUUUGAUACUGAGUACCACGCAGGGAGGUAAUGGCUCCCAUUUUUAUAGUCUUUGGUAUGACUCGACCUCCCCAUCUCAGGGCGGACCAUUUCUGUGUGUCCAUCAGUGAUGACAUCAUCAGCAUCAGCAUCAUCCCACAUAAGCACUAACUGUAUUCUGGUUGUAGGCCUUUUUGUUGUAUUGUUGUUUAAUGCACACAAAGGUCGUCCCGAUACCAAUAUUUUGGUACCGGCACCAAAAUGUAUUUCGAUACUUUUGUAUAUAAAGGGGACCACAAAAAAUGG